AGAAUAAAAUUGAUUCUUUUUUAGAAGUUUGGUUCAUUAAUAAGAUUACAUGUUUUUAGUUUAAUUAAUUUUUUUUCAGUAAUUAAUAUUUUUAAUAAUAUUGUUUAUUAUUUAGUUAUUUAAUAAGGUUUGACUAAUCUUGUGCCAGCAUUCGCGGUUAUACAUUUAAUUCAACUUAACUUUUUUGGUUUAAUGAUUUAAAUAUUUUAAUGAUUAUUCUAAUUUAUUAAUUUGGGUGGAAUUUAUUUUUAAAAUUUUUCUUUUAAUAAUUAUUAUUUUAAUUUUAGAAUUUAAACUAGGAUUAGAUACCCUAUUAUUCUUUAGUUAAUUUACCCUGAACAUUAACAGUUUUGCUCUGUUAAAUUCAAAGAAUUUGGCGGCAUUUAAUUUUAUUAGAGGAACCUGUUUUUUAAUUGAUAAACCACGAUAUAAUUUACCUUUAUAUUAACUUGUAUAUCUCUAUAUUUGGAAUGUUUCUUAAGGAUGACUUUCUUUUUUAAUUUUUAUUUUAUGUUAGGUCAAGGUGCAGUAUUAAAAGGUUUAAAUGGGUUACAUUUAAAGUUUUUAUGGAAUUAUUUGUUUUAAUAUAUUUAUUAAAUUGGAUUUGAUAGUAAUUUUAAUUAAUUAAUUAUUUUGAAUCUGUUCUUAUUUGUGUACAUAUCGCCCGUCACUCCUAUAUACAGGAUAAGUCGUAACAAAGUAGAUGUACCGGAAGGUGUAUCUGUUUGAU
rnacentral:ncRNA from 1 species